AUUGAACGCUGGCGGCAUGCCUUACACAUGCAAGUCGAACGGCAGCACGGGGCAACCUGGUGGCGAGUGGCGAACGGGUGAGUAAUGCAUCGGAACGUACCUUUCAGUGGGGGAUAACGUAGCGAAAGUUACGCUAAUACCGCAUAUUCUGUGAGCAGGAAAGCAGGGGAUCGCAAGACCUUGCGCUGAUUGAGCGGCCGAUAUCAGAUUAGCUAGUUGGUGGGGUAAAGGCCUACCAAGGCUACGAUCUGUAGCGGGUCUGAGAGGAUGAUCCGCCACACUGGAACUGAGACACGGUCCAGACUCCUACGGGAGGCAGCAGUGGGGAAUUUUGGACAAUGGGGGCAACCCUGAUCCAGCCAUGCCGCGUGAGUGAAGAAGGCCUUCGGGUUGUAAAGCUCUUUCGGCCGGGAAGAAAUCGCAUAGGCUAAUACCCUGUGUGGAUGACGGUACCGGAAUAAGAAGCACCGGCUAACUACGUGCCAGCAGCCGCCGUAACAC
rnacentral:rRNA from 1 species